UUAUAAGAGACAGCAGCAGCCACGGUAAUACAGAGGGUGCGAGCGUUAAUCGGAUUUACUGGGCGUAAAGCGUGCGUAGGCGGCUUCUUAAGUCGGAUGUGAAAUCCCUGAGCUUAACUUAGGAAUUGCAUUCGAUACUGGGAAGCUAGAGUAUGGGAGAGGAUGGUAGAAUUCCAGGUGUAGCGGUGAAAUGCGUAGAGAUCUGGAGGAAUACCGAUGGCGAAGGCAGCCAUCUGGCCUAAUACUGACGCUGAGGUACGAAAGCAUGGGGAGCAAACAGGAUUAGAUACCCGCGUAGUCCCUGUCUCUUAUAC
rnacentral:rRNA from 1 species